CUCCUCCAUCAGCCCCAGAAUUGUGUCUUUCUAUGGAAGAAACCACGCAGUGUUGUCAGGUGGUAACCUCAGCGGUGUGACCGGAGUGAGGAUGCAGGCAGACCUGGACUGUACGCCACAGGAGUCUCCUGUCUGGAACAACAGCGGCUCCAGUUUGACCUUCCACAUUCCCAGAGCAAACCGUAAAGGGACAGUGAAAGCCUGCGUUCUCCUCCCAGACGGCAGUUGCCACGGUGACGCGAGCAUCACCUACCAGUCGUCACCUUCCUGUCGAGACAUUUCACCGAGGAACUCCUGGAUCAGUGGGGGGAGGAAGAUCACACUCACUGGAUCUCACCUGGAGUUUGUGGAGGGGGUCAUUCACAGCCGAGCCCCUCAGGAAGUCCAACCUCCGACUGACAGGAACCAUCAG